rnacentral:pre_miRNA from 11 species
AUUCCUGCCGCAGUUCAAAUUGACUCUAGUAGGGAGUCCUUUCACGAGCGACUCCCUAACGGAGUCAGAUUGAAUUACAAAGGACCCAGACAAC